GAUGAAGAACGUAGCGAAAUGCGAUAGGUAAUGUGAAUUGCAGAAUUCAGUGAAUCAUCGAAUCUUUGAACGCACAUUGCGCCCGCCAGUAUUCUGGCGGGCAUGCCUGUUCGAGCGUCAUUUCAACCAUCAAGCCCCAGGCUUGUGUUGGGGACCUGCGGCUGCCGCAGGCCCUGAAAACCAGUGGCGGGCUCGCUAGUCACACCGAGCGUAGUAGCAUACACAUCGCUCAGGGCGUGCUGCGGGUUCCGGCCGUUAAACCCCUUUUUUACCCAAGGUUGACCUCGGAUCAGGUAGGAAGACCCGCUGAACUUAAGCAUAUCAAUAAGCGGAGGA
rnacentral:misc_RNA from 1 species